UACGUAGGGGGCAAGCGUUGUCCGGAAUCAUUGGGCGUAAAGAGCGUGUAGGCGGCCCGAUAAGUCCGCCGUGAAAGUCCAGGGCUCAACCCUGGAAUGCCGGUGGAAACUGUCGGGCUGGAGUCCGGAAGAGGCGAGUGGAAUUCCUGGUGUAGCGGUGAAAUGCGCAGAUAUUGCUCGGAAGGCCGGAGCCGAAGGGGCCCUACUGGUGCGCAACUGACGCUGAUGCACGAAAGCGUGGGGAGCGAAACAGG
rnacentral:rRNA from 1 species